rnacentral:misc_RNA from 1 species
CGGUCAGCGGCUCGUCUCCGUGGCCUGGAGGCUAAGCGAACGGGUUGGGCUGCGCGUGUACCCCGGUUCGAAUCUCGGAUCAGGCUGGAGCCGCAGCUAACGUGGUACUGGCACUCCCGUCUCGACCCAGGCCUGCACAAAACCUCCAGGAUACGGAGGCGGGUCGUUUUUUUGCUUUUUCCUGGAUGGGAGCCAGUGCUGCGUCAAGCUUUAGAACACUCAGUUCUCGGGGCUGGGAGUGGCUCGCGCCCGUAGUCUGGAGAAUUAAUCGCCAGGGUUGCGUUGCGGUGUGCCCCGGUUCGAGUCUUAGCGCGCCGGAUCGGCCGGUUUCCGCGACGUUUCUAAGACCCCGCCAGCCGACUUCUCCAGUUUACGGGAGCGAGCCCUCUUUUUUUUUUUUUUUUUUUUUUGUGCCCCAAAGGCCCCCGGGGCG